rnacentral:rRNA from 1 species
CAGCCGCCGCGGUAAUACGUAGGGGGCAAGCGUUGUCCGGAAUCAUUGGGCGUAAAGAGCGUGUAGGCGGCUCGGUAAGUCCGCUGUGAAAGUCCAGGGCUCAACCCUGGAAUGCCGGUGGAAACUGUCGAGCUAGAGUCCGGAAGAGGCGAGUGGAAUUCCUGGUGUAGCGGUGAAAUGCGCAGAUAUCAGGAGGAACACCAAUGGCGAAGGCAGCUCGCUGGGACGGUACUGACGCUGAGACGCGAAAGCGUGGGGAGCAAACAGGAUUAGAUACCCCUGUAGUCCCUGUCUCUUAUAC